UUCCAAAGAAACAUUUCAUACCAAACUGCUCUUGGGUUUAACUCAGCAAGGGAAGAUAACAUGUGGAGUUAUCAUGUGGAGUUCUCCAUCAAAGAGACUAACAGCAUCAUAGAACAUGACAGCAUCCAGACCAAUUGUGCAUUUACAUCUUCAGACAUUCCUAUGAGGUUGAGCAGGGGCAGCAAGUUUCCAAUCAUCACUAGUUCUUCAAAGCAUCCAACCAAGAAAAAAAAAA